UAAGAGGGCGAAACUGAAACUAUUGUGUUCUGUGCUCGCGGUUGCCCCUCAACUCGUGCGAGUCUGACUGCGCACAAACCGGAUAGAGCCAUACGGCCGCAGCUCGACCACAGCAUGAGGGAAGGCAGCUGGAGUGAAGCGAACCGCAAGAUGCACGGCACGGUAGUUCGAUGCGAGAAGGUGAAGCAGGAGCCGGUGCCUUUGGAUACAGAGAUCAGACAUCCAGUGGCACAAUUCUAUUCUUUAUUGGGCAGCUGGCAUCGCCCUCAACUCUUCCGGAGAGCCUAAAGCAAGAUGGCACUAUUCUCAAGCGUUCAGCCAGGUGUCCACCACUGUGAACACAGCCAUUGUCAACAUCAGUGUCAGCAAUGGGAAUUUUAUAUUCAGCGUGAACCCUCCUAGCUGCAAUACCCGAUUGUGCACACCGCUCCAUAGCCACAGUGCAUGUGGUAACAGCCCAGUCGACAAGUGUUGCACAAGACAUCCAUCGCCUAAACGAGAGUAUACAAGGCAUUCUUCAAGGCAGGAGUAUGCAAGAGACUUGAAGUACAUGAACUCAUCCAGCCAUGCCUAUCGUCGAUCUGAGUACAGCCUUUCCGAUUGUCGUUCGUCGCACCGGAGCCAUCGGAAGCACCGGCGGCACCAUUGAGCAGUAUUAGUGAUCAGAAGACUCGGUUGGGUAUUAUUCAGCGAAGCGGGUCUCUUUGCACUUGUGCAUCUACAAGUACAGCCAUUGCACUUACUUCCUCCACUAUAGUCAUGCACUCACACCAUUAAGCAGUGUAAUUCAGCGAUGCGGAUCUUUCAGUCAAGGAGGACACGCGACAUUCGUUCUGGGCCUUGUCAAUGGACCAUCCUUUUAAGUAAGGUUUGUUCCAAUGCAAGAAAGGUUCACCCCACCACACACGAAAAGAUGCAGGUUGUGGUGCGCCAGACUGCACCCACUUGCUGCGAGGUUCAAGGCUGCAUUGUAUCGUUGCGGUACCUUACCUUGCACCCAGCGCUAUCGACAACAGGGUGCAGUGUGCGUCACUGUAUACCUCCGAACACAGCCGUGAUGGGAGAAGUGGGGGCCUAGGUGCAGUGCACCGAGAAUAAGUGGAGAAACACGAUUCAAUCGAAUAAACCUGCAAUAUGCUGCUCAUGGAGGGUCCUACGCCCUACAGAAAUACAUGGAGCAUUACAGCAUGCACUUUACAUAAAACUGUAGCCCAAUUUCAUAUGGUGAAGUGGUACAGUUCUUAUAGUUACCAUGUUCUCAAUAUUACAAUGUGCGUCUUGAUGUGCUUCCUGGUAAUUAUGUCUCAUUGCAACAUUGAUAUGUGCAAAUCUUCAAGCCAGAAAAACUAAAAUUUCAUGUGAUCCACCUGGUGUUAACAGACUGACCCUUUGCACGUGUAGUUUAGAGAUCACAGUUGCGGUCUUUUUGGUGCAUUAUCUCGACUAAGGAUAUUAUUGGCCAAAAAAGCACAGAAAUUUUGAAAAAAAAAUCUUAUUUUUAUAUGUCACGGUCAUUAACAAGCAGUGUUGUACACGUUCCUCAAAAACAGGAACGAAAGCUCGUUCCUUCCCAAUAUUGAAACGAG